rnacentral:rRNA from 1 species
GACGAACGCUGGCGGCGUGCUUAACACAUGCAAGUCGAACGAUGAAGUUCCUUCGGGAAUGGAUUAGUGGCGAACGGGUGAGAAACACGUGAGAAACCUGCCUUUCACUUUGGGAUAACUCCGGGAAACCGGAGCUAACACCGAAUACUCCGUCUCGGCGGCAUCGCUGAGCCGGGAAAAAAUUAUGAUGAAAGAUGGUCUCGCGGCCUAUCAGCUAGUUGGUGAGGUAAUGGCUCACCAAGGCGACGACGGGUAGCCGGCCUGAGAGGGCGACCGGCCACACUGGGACUGAGACACGGCCCAGACUCCUACGGGAGGCAGCAGUGGGGAAUAUUGGGCAAUGGGCGCAAGCCUGACCCAGCGACGCCGCGUGAGGGAUGAAGGCCUUCGGGUUGUAAACCUCUUUCAGUAGGGAAGAAGCGAAAGUGACGGUACCUAAAGAAGAAGCACCGGCUAACUAUGUGCCAGCCGCCGCAGUAA